GUCGCCCUUUACUCCAGAUAUGAUCCCCUGAUCCCUCUAGAUUAUCGGAAUUCAGAGUGUGAGAGAGAGAAAUGGUGAGAAAGCGGCUGUUCGCGAAGGAGGCGGUGGAGUUCUUGAAUCAUAUGAUGGAGGACAAGCCCAUGCUGCCCUUCCUGAUACCUCUGGGAUGCGUGGCCUGGGCAAUCGAGCGUUUCCUCGUCCCCUUCUCCAAUUGGGUUCCCCUCGCCUUCGCCGUCUGGGCUACCAUACAGUAUGGGAGGUUUCAACGUCAGCUACUUGCGGAAG
rnacentral:misc_RNA from 1 species